UACAGAGGUGGCAAGCGUUGUUCGGAAUUACUGGGCGUAAAGGGCGCGUAGGCGGCCUUCUAAGUCGGACGUGAAAGCCCCAGGCUUAACCUGGGAACUGCGUCCGAUACUGGGAGGCUUGGAUUCGGGAGAGGGAUGUGGAAUUCCAGGUGUAGCGGUGAAAUGCGUAGAUAUCUGGAGGAACACCGGUGGCGAAGGCGGCAUCCUGGACCGAGAUCGGCGCUGAGGCGCGAAAGCUAGGGGAGCAAACGGG
rnacentral:rRNA from 1 species